CAGCCGCCGCGGGAAUACGGAGGGGGCUAGCGUUGUUCGGAAUUACUGGGCGUAAAGCGCACGUAGGCGGCUUUGUAAGUCAAAGGUGAAAGCCUGGAGCUCAACUCCAGAAUUGCCUUUGAGACUGCAUCGCUUGAACGUCGGAGAGGUGAGUGGAAUUCCGAGUGUAGAGGUGAAAUUCGUAGAUAUUCGGAAGAACACCAGUGGCGAAGGCGGCUCACUGGACGACUGUUGACGCUGAGGUGCGAAAGCGUGGGGAGCAAACAGGAUUAGAUACCCCUGUAGUCCAUGUCUCUUAUAC
rnacentral:rRNA from 1 species